rnacentral:rRNA from 1 species
CUACGGGAUGCAGCAGUGGGGAAUAUUGGACAAUGGGCGCAAGCCUGAUCCAGCAAUGCCGCGUGAGUGAAGACGGCCUUAGGGUUGUAAAACUCUUUCGCUAGGGAAGAUAAUGACUGUACCUAGUAAAGAAGUCCCGGCUAACUCCGUGCCAGCAGCCGCGGUAAUACGGAGGGACUAGCGUUGUUCGGAAUUACUGGGCGUAAAGAGUUCGUAGGCGGACUGACAAGUUAGAGGUGAAAUCCCAGGGCUCAACCCUGGAACUGCCUUUAAAACUGUCAGUCUAGAGACCGGAAGAGGUUAGGGGAAUACCUAGUGUAGAGGUGAAAUUCGUAGAUAUUAGGUGGAACACCAGUGGCGAAGGCGCCUAACUGGUCCGGUACUGACGCUGAGGAACGAAAGCGUGGGGAGCAAACAGGAUUAGAUACCCGGGUAGUC